rnacentral:rRNA from 1 species
AGUGAACGCUGGCGGUAGGCCUAACACAUGCCAGUCGAACGGCAGCACAGUAAGAGCUUGCUCUUACGGGUGGCGAGUGGCGGACGGGUGAGGAAUACAUCAGAAUCUACUUUUUCGUGGGGGAUAACGUAGGGAAACUUACGCUAAUACCGCAUACGACCUACGGGUGAAAGCAGGGGAUCUUCGGACCUUGCGCGAUUGAAUGAGCCGAUGUCGGAUUAGCUAGUUGGCGGGGUAAAGGCCCACCAAGGCGACGAUCCGUAGCUGGUCUGAGAGGAUGAUCAGCCACACUGGAACUGAGACACGGUCCAGACUCCUACGGGAGGCAGCAGUGGGGAAUAUUGGACAAUGGGCGCAAGCCUGAUCCAGCCAUACCGCGUGGGUGAAGAAGGCCUUCGGGUUGUAAAGCCCUUUUGUUGGGAAAGAAAAGCAGCAGGUUAAUACCCCGCUGUUCUGACGGUACCCAAAGAAUAAGCACCGGCUAACUUCGUG